rnacentral:lncRNA from 1 species
UCAGACUGCCUUGCACUCCUUGAGGGCAAGCCUGCCUCUUCCCCAGUCUGAGACACCAGCAGAUAACGCCUGUGGAAAGAACAAGUCAAGGACAAGUGGUCAGGCAAGUGAUUCGCCCUGAUCCUCUAUUUCCUUGGCUAUCAUCUAGCUACUGACAAGAGCACUUUGGAGACUGAAUGACAUGAUGGGUGUGGAAGCAUCCAGAAUGGAGUUUAACAAGAAGCUCAUGCUCAAAAACAGUGUAAUCAGCAGCAAUUAAUUCUAAUCACAAGAAGACAGCAAGAAUGAACAGAGCAUUAAUUGGACAGAAGUAAUCAGAAUCUCCCUUAGCUCACAGUUGGUACUUGUAUGCAGGAGGACGUGAGCAGCCACAUGCAUGUAUACACACACAGUCUACAGGCCGUCAAAGUGUUCUACAGGAUCUAUACCUCUGCCCUAACACCAGCCUAGCCCUGGAUGGCCUGCCUGAGGCCAUUGCCCUUCCCCCCAUGUGCUCAGCAGGACAACCUGGAGCCACCAAGCUGCAACCUAAGUCCUGCUGCAAUGAGAAAAGAUGCCUUCCUGCACAGAGUAUGAUGAUGUGAUAGGAACUCCAUAAACACGCACCAAGGACUGAAGAAAGGCUCAAAGGACACCUACCUUUCUAGGGAAGGAGUAUUUGCACAUACAGUGAACUUUCUGCAUCUGCUGUUCCAUAUCCAAGGGUUCUGCUUCCAAGGACCCAACCAACCAUGGUCAGAAAACAUUUGAAAAAAAACCAUGCCUAUACUGACAAUAUACAGCAAUUUCCUUGCCAUUAUUCCC